UCACUUCACCUGGAUUUGAAGUUUCUGGAGCUGAAUGUUCACCUUGUUUCAGCACUUAAGGGCUGAUGAUGUUCAAAGAGUGUUAUGAACUCCGGGCUCAAGGAGAGGUAGAAGUUGUUCCUGCUGGAUUGGUCAUCCCUACAUAUAAACACCUGGAAGGAAGAGGGGAACAUCUCAUUGGAGAAGAAACAAAAGGCUGGUGGCAAAUUUACUGAAUUCUGGGAAACUUUAGCCAGAGUAAUGAUGCCUUUGGAUUGC